rnacentral:rRNA from 1 species
AUUGAACGCUGGCGGCAUGCUUUACACAUGCAAGUCGAACGGUAACAGGCCGCAAGGUGCUGACGAGUGGCGAACGGGUGAGUAAUGCAUCGGAAUGUGCCCAGUCGUGGGGGAUAACGCAGCGAAAGCUGCGCUAAUACCGCAUACGAUCUAUGGAUGAAAGCGGGGGACCUGUAAGGGCCUCGCGCGAUUGGAGCGGCCGAUGUCAGAUUAGGUAGUUGGUGGGGUAAAGGCUCACCAAGCCGACGAUCUGUAGCUGGUCUGAGAGGACGACCAGCCAGACUGGGACUGAGACACGGCCCAGACUCCUACGGGAGGCAGCAGUGGGGAAUUUUGGACAAUGGGCGCAAGCCUGAUCCAGCAAUGCCGCGUGCAGGAAGAAGGCCUUCGGGUUGUAAACUGCUUUUGUACGGAACGAAACGGCUCUGGUUAAUACCUGGGGCUAAUGACGGUACCGUAAGAAUAAGCACCGGCUAACUACGUGCCAGCCGCCGCGGUAACAC